rnacentral:rRNA from 1 species
GUGCACCAGUCGCGAAACUUUACAAUGCGGGAAACCGUGAUAAGGGAACCUCGAGUGCCGAUGCCCAGCAUUGGCUGUCCACAUGCCUAAAAGCAUGUGUUAGCAAGGGCCGGGCAAGACCGGUGCCAGCCGCCGCGGUAACACCGGCGGCUCGAGUGGUAGCCACUUUUAUUGGGUCUAAAAGCGUCCGUAGCCGGCUUGGUAAGUCUUCUGGGAAAUCUGGCGGCUCAACCGUCAGGCGUCCAGGGAGAUACUGUCAGGCUUGGGACCGGGAGAGGUGAGAGGUACCUCAGGGGUAGGGGUGAAAUCUUGUGAUCCUUGAGGGACCGACCAGUGGCGAAGGCGUCUCACUAGAACGGGCUCCGACGGUCAGGGGACGAAAGCUAGGGGGCAGAACCGGAUUAGAUACCCGUGUAGU